UGUAUCUGAAGUCUGACGAGGAUGAGAACCUCCGGGGGCAAGAGGUUCGACCCGAGCGAAGCGAGAGAACGUUGCGUCAGCAACGGCCCGCAGGGCGAGCCACG
rnacentral:sRNA from 1 species